UGAAUAAGGUACAGAUUAAAGAUCAAGGUAUUUAUAUGCCUUGAACAUGUAUUGUAUCUAGAGUAUACAUUUUGUAUAGAGUAUACAUUUUAUAAAUACAUCUGUAUGUACCGAAAACAUUUAUUUAUUUAUUUUUUUAUAAAUUUCCUUUCUUUCUUUUAAAUAUUCAAAUGAAAUAAACAAUAAAUGAUACAAAUUUUUAAACAAAUCUGCCUCCAACAUCAGCCAUUUCUCUGCAGCGUAGAAAUAUCAGUUGUCGGUCAUGUGGCACCAAGUCUGCUGUUUCGCGUUGUUCACAUCGGCGUCUCAUAGUUCCGUAAUAAUUCUCUGGUGUUGAAUUCUAUAUGCACACAUCUCGUUGCGGAGUAGCGGAGCAGGCCGUGGGAUCCUGAAUUUGCUUAACACUAAAAUUGUCUAAAAUACUUCCAGUUAUAUAGUUUCAAAUUGUUGAAUCUUUGCAGUUUUCAGCUAGGGCAAAAUAAAGUCUUUAUAUCAGCUGGGUAAAAUAGUCUUCAUAAUCAAUUUUAUUUGCAAACUGUGUCGGGUAUUUUCAAUAAGAAUUGCAUGGGGAAUACAAGUAUAAUACUCUGACGAGAAUCUGGCAUUGUGUAAAUAUAUCUGUUGCUAAAAUGUUUCUUAUUUGUCUUGUUUCUUUGUUGUUUUCUACAUAGAAUUUCAGAUUAUUUCCUUUUUCAUUUUAACAUUUUCCAUAAAUUCUGUCUUAACAAAGUUUCUUUAAUUGUAGAUGGAGAGAAAGAUUGAUAUAUCAUUAUAGCUCGGGGUUAUUUUUCGUUGAUUGUUGUAUUAUUCAUGAUUUUAUCUUUGUCACUUUGGCGUUCCACCAGGAAGUUGCUGAUAUAGUUGACUGAUAAUAAGUCCUUGAGGGCUGUUAUUGUUACGCAGCCUCUCAUUGGUCAAUAUCGUGCGUUCAACCGUGAAUAUAUCCGUCCCCUUUUGCAUAUGUAGCAGAAGCUGUUAGCUAACUGGCAUUGUCUUCUUGCUUGUAUUGUGUGCAGACGUGUUUUAGAAAUUUUGCUUGAAAUUUAAUUAAAGUUCCACCGUAAUACGAGCACUCAGAUAUAAUAAAAGGAUAUAACAAUGGACAGGAGGAAUGAUUACACGUAUUCAAGUUAUUAUAAGCAUCAGAAACAUCAGAUUCAUCAUUACUGCUUGAGCUAGAAUCAUCAGGAGGUAUUACAUAAUUAACCCUUCGUCUUGGAUAACCUUUAACAGCUUUACGUUCGGGCCAUUCAGCAAUGUCAGCAAGCCUAAUCUGAUCUGCAUGUACUUGAACAACUGAGUUGUCAAGCUGGUUCUUAAUAAGGACCUCCCUAAAGGCAGAACUUGUAAAUUCUGACCCUCGGUCAUGAAUUACCUGGAGAGGACAUCCAUAUCUAGGAUAUAUCUCAUUCAAAAAUUCUGGUGGUCGUGAAAAGAAAUCAGCAAUAACAUUUGCUUUUCCUGGAAGAUACUCUAUCUUACAGUUGUAACCACUAAUAGACAAUGCCCAUAACUGAAUUUUCUUGUUUUGCAUUUCACUUUUUAAUGAAUACUGCAGCGGAGAAUGGUCGCAUUUGAUUGUAAAUUCAGCAUUGUGUAAAAAGUAAUUUAAACGUUGCAAAGAAUAAAAGAUGGCGUACGCCUCCUUCUCAAUAGUGCUGUAUUUCUUUUGUGUUUCACUUAGUUUAUGAGACAGAAAAUAUAUAGGUCUUUCUUUAUUUUCAUCUGAUUUUGGUGAAUUACACUCUUGAGUUAAGCACGCUGCCACGUGACUAUCGCUGGCAUCGGUAUACAAUGUAUACGGUUUGUUUGGAUCUGGGUAAGAUAAGAAAGGAAUAGCUGUUAAUUGUUCUUUAAUUUUCUCAAAACUUUUCUGACAUUCUUCUGUCCAAAUAAAUGGAGACUUUUUUCUUGUAAGGUUUAUAAGAGGUUCUGCUAUUUCUGAAAAUGAGGGGAUGAACCGUCUAUAGAACGAGCA
rnacentral:lncRNA from 1 species